rnacentral:SRP_RNA from 1 species
UAUGGGUCAACUAGGUGGAUAUACGGCAAAACCUGCCAGAUUCGAAAGAAAGCAACAGUAACCAGUAUUUUCCAGGUUGGUUGGCCCUAAUUG